GUGUCAGCAGCCGCGGUAAUACGUAGGGUGCGAGCGUUAUCCGGAAUUAUUGGGCGUAAAGAGCUCGUAGGCGGUUUGUCGCGUCUGUCGUGAAAGUCCGGGGCUUAACCCCGGAUCUGCGGUGGGUACGGGCAGACUAGAGUGCAGUAGGGGAGACUGGAAUUCCUGGUGUAGCGGUGGAAUGCGCAGAUAUCAGGAGGAACACCGAUGGCGAAGGCAGGUCUCUGGGCUGUAACUGACGCUGAGAAGCGAAAGCAUGGGGAGCGAACAGGAUUAGAAACCCGGGUAGUCC
rnacentral:rRNA from 1 species